rnacentral:rRNA from 1 species
AGUGAACGCUGGCGGUAGGCCUAACACAUGCAAGUUGAACGGCAGCACAGGAGAGCUUGCUCUCUGGGUGGCGAGUGGCGGACGGGUGAGGAAUACAUCGGAAUCUACUCUGUCGUGGGGGAUAACGUAGGGAAACUUACGCUAAUACCGCAUACGACCUACAGGUGAAAGCAGGGGAUCUUCGGACCUUGCGCGAUUGAAUGAGCCGAUGUCGGAUUAGCUAGUUGGCGGGGUAAAGGCCCACCAAGGCGACGAUCCGUAGCUGGUCUGAGAGGAUGAUCAGCCGCACUGGAACUGGGACACGUUCCAGACUCCUACGGGAGGCAGCAGUGGGGAAUAUUGAACAAUGGGCGCAAGCCUGGUCCAGCCAUACCGCGUGGGUGAAGAAGGCCUUCGGGUUGUAAAGCCCUUUUGUUGGGAAAGAAAUCCAUCUGGUUAAUACCCGGGUGGGAUGACGUUACCCAAAGAAUAAGCACCGGCUAACUUCGUGCCAGCCGCCGCCGUAA